GAUGAAGAACGUAGCGAAAUGCGAUAAGUAAUGUGAAUUGCAGAAUUCAGUGAAUCAUCGAGUCUUUGAACGCACAUUGCGCCCCUCGGUAUUCCGACGGGCAUGCCUGUCCGAGCGUCGUUUGCAACCCAUCGAGUAACAUUUCUCGGUCUUGGGCGCCGUCCUCACCCCUUGCGGGGGGGACGCGCCUUGAAGCCCUCGGCGGCCCUGGGUGCCCGCCGGAGCGUCUUCGAAAGCACUCGCUCCGCGCGUCGCCCCCGGACCGGCCGGCACCGCGGCCCCCCGGUCGCGAACCCAACCAAACUUUUGACCUCGGAUCAGGUAGGGCUACCCGCUGAACUUAAGCAUAUCAAUAAGCGGAGGA
rnacentral:misc_RNA from 1 species